rnacentral:rRNA from 1 species
AUUGAACGCUGGCGGCAUGCUUUACACAUGCAAGUCGAACGGCAGCACGGGGGCAACCCUGGUGGCGAGUGGCGAACGGGUGAGUAAUAUAUCGGAACGUACCCGGAAAUGGGGGAUAACGUAGCGAAAGUUACGCUAAUACCGCAUAUGCCCUAAGGGGGAAAGCGGGGGUUUCGCAAGAACCUCGCGUUUUCGGAGCGGCCGAUAUCGGAUUAGCUAGUAGGUGAGGUAAAGGCUCACCUAGGCGACGAUCCGUAGCUGGUCUGAGAGGACGACCAGCCACACUGGAACUGAGACACGGUCCAGACUCCUACGGGAGGCAGCAGUGGGGAAUUUUGGACAAUGGGGGGCAACCCUGAUCCAGCCAUGCCGCGUGAGUGAAGAAGGCCUCGG